rnacentral:rRNA from 1 species
GAACGAACGCUGGCGGCGCGCUUAACACAUGCAAGUCGAACGAGAAGGCGUAGCAAUACGCUUGUACAGUGGCGAACGGGUGAGUAAUACGUGGGCGACCUACCCUCGAGUGGGGAAUAACCCGCCGAAAGGCGGGCUAAUGCCGCGUACGCUUCCACUCUUUAUGGAGGUGGAAGGAAAGCCGUGCCGUGGGCACGGCGCUCAAGGAUGGGCUCACGUCCUAUCAGCUUGUUGGUAGGGAACGGCCUACCAAGGCUCCGACGGUAGCUGGUCUGAGAGGACGAUCAGCCACACUGGCACUGCGACACGGGCCAGACUCCUACGGGA